UUUCCGUAGGUGAACCUGCGGAAGGAUCAUUGUAGGAUUGUUUUGGGAGGGGUGGUUGUGAUUUGUGGGGAUUGUGUGUGGUUGUUUGGAUUGCCUGGAUUGCCUGGCUGUCUGCAACUCGACUCGUCUCAUCACAACCACUUUACAUUGGCACAGACCAGUGGUCUGAUGUUUGGAGCAACAGACCAGUGGUGUCUGAUGUUUGCGCUUGCUCGUUUGACAGAAACAGUACCAUAUCAUUGCAAAACUUUUAACAAUGGAUCUCUUGGCUCUU
rnacentral:misc_RNA from 1 species